GAUGACAUCAUAAAGCAGGUGCCACCCACUCCCUGGAGCAUGCCUGGGGAGCUUGAUGAGUAUGGCGGGGAAGAAGAUCUGGGGGAGUUAACAUGUGGUGGUAGUUGAGAGCCCUUAAUUGGGAAGCAGGGAAUGAAGUCAGUCAUACCCAACUCAGAAGGGCUUUAUGUCUUUUCCAUGAGAUGAUGCACAUAAGUAGAUACUUUCUUCAGUGCCGCAUGGACUGAAUGUACAUACAUGGCCAUUAUUUUGGAUGAUGCUUAUCAAAAGAAACUGCCAUUUACUGUGCUCCUGUAACGUGCCAGGUACCAUG